CAAUUUUGUAGGACAAUAUCUGCUGUCUGUGAUAGCCACUUUAAUGACGUGGUUGACUUCGUGAAAUGCAGAAGGAAUAUCUUCAUGUUGGGUCGUACUGUAAGGCCAUAUACGAAGGAUUGUAAGGCAAACUGUAAACGGAACUCCAGUUUGCCUCCGGCCGUCUUCACCAUCUGAGAACGAUCAGCGUGCGCAGCCCCCUGCUGUGUGUUUAAAUAUUUCACAAAUGGUCCCGACCCCGCGGCGACACUCAAAGUGUCUCUGAUCGGGAUGCCGUCUGUUCGCCAUACAAUAUCGCAGCAUCUGCAGAAUUCUGUGCCCACAUCUGCCAAGAGCUGGCUAGCCCACCGUGCAUGGUAUUCCAUUCUGACACUUCGGUACCGGUAACAGCUGUUAGUCGUAACAGCGACCACACGCAAGGGGCUCCACAAUGUUGACGUACCUGCUUCUGCCCCAUCUAUAUCGGCUACUGCGAGCACGUACAGAACUGAUAUGAAUUUGUGUUGCUUUCAGCACAUCUGGUGGACAGAACGAUGGCAUAUAUCGAUGGGACGAGCCCGUCUUUUCCCGUGUUGGGAGAUGCUCGUAGUCAGUUGCCUCGCUCCAUGUCAGCGAUCUUCUACCUCUUGGCUGACUAGUAUUUCAAAGUUAAUGAAUGGGGGAAGGCAAUUAGGCACUACCUGCUGGAUGUUUGUGUCAAUCCUGUACGCAUCGACUCCUGGGCAGGAAUGGCGCUUGCUCGUGGGAGUCAACUGGAAACUAAACUUAAUUCUUGUGAACCAUUGAAGAGCGAGAUGGACUUUUUGCGUCAAGCGUCUGCUGCUCAGCGUUGCUUUCAGCGUGCUCUGGAUAUUGAGGCGAAUCAUUCAUUGAUGUGGAUCGAGUACGGCUCCUUUGUCUAUAUGGUGCAUUCCUUCUGUUCCCGCCUGCUUAAACAGGAAACAGACAGCCUCAGCCUGGAGAUGUUUGAGAUAUUGGAGAAUCGAAAGGAGAAGAUGUUGGACACGGCAGAGAAGUGUUUCACCACUGCCAGCAAGAUAUGGUAUGCUGCAGGAGAGGAUUGUGGAAUACAAGAUGAGCGCUGGGUAAAGUGGCAGAGAAGAGAGACCACAAUCCAAGAGUUUUCCUUAGCCAUUUUGCAAAGGCUUGCGAACACCUUCAUCAGACGCAGGCUAGUUAUGCCCGUAGGAUAAGCUACAGUAAUCCACAGAACUUGGCAGUUGAAGCCUUAGAAGUCUACUAUAGGAUCCACGCUUGCAUACUUAAAUAUUUGGAGCAGAAUGAAGGCAGAAAGCUCGAUGACAAUUUGAAGACGCUGUUUGAAAAAAUGCUCAAGGAUGCUGCCGCAGGACCAUUCAUGGCUUCUAAUUUGAGAGAAAUAGAAGGGAAACACGAGAGUGACGAGGAUCACAAGAAGAAACGACCGCCCGUGUCUUUGGAUAUUUUCGAAGAGGUCCCAUUUACAAAGAAAGCACGUCUGGAUUUGCCUCUGGUUAGAUUAUUAUUAAAUAUAAAGCACUAUAUAUAGUAACAACUGUGAGCACAUAUUUAAGAAUGCCUCAUUGCAACUUCUUUAACAAUUUGUAACCCAGUGUCAGCUAG